CGGCCUGAGGUCGGACGAGGCUACCCGCUGAAUUUAAGCAUAUUACUAAGCGGAGGAAAAGAAACUAACGAGGAUUCCCUCAGUAACGGCGAGUGAAGCGGGACGAGCCCAGCGCCGAAUCCGGCCGCUUAUGGAGCGGACGGAAUUGUGGCGUAUGGAAUUCGCUUCGAGCGCGGACCGGCUGCCCACGUCCUUCUGAUCGAGGCUUCAUCCGCAUA
rnacentral:ncRNA from 1 species